AUCACUUCUUGGCCUUUUGGCUAAGAUCAAGGGUAGUAUCUGUUCUUAUCAGUAUAGUUUCUUCAUCAGCCAAACAACAUAAGGACCUGUUAUAACUGGAGCUAUUCAGCUCUCUGUUGAACCACUCUUUUAAAAACAAGUUACGUUUGGGGUUCCUGGGUGGCUCAGUUGGUUAAGCAUCUGACUUAGGCUC
ensembl:snRNA U2 U2 spliceosomal RNA